GACCAACUAAGUUAGUUCUUGGUAUGAGCUUUCGUGUGCAUGCACACUUCUUCACAUACCUGAAGAAGUAUCUGAAGAAGUGUGCAUGCACACGAAAGCUCAUACCAAGAACUAACUUAGUUGG